rnacentral:snRNA from 1 species
GUGCUUGCUUUGGCAGCAUAAAUGCUAAAGUUGCAAUGAUACAGAGAAGAUUAGCAUGGUCCCUGUUCAGUGAUGUCCUGCAAAUCCAUGAAGUACUCCAUAUUUAA